rnacentral:lncRNA from 1 species
AUUGGAGCGAGAGUGUAAGUGCUUGUUAGGAAUAAGAGUACUGAGCAUGAUCAAGUAUGAGUAGUUAGUAAGAUAUAUACCUUCUCGUCAGUGACUAAUUCGAUGCUAUGGUAGUAUGAGUAAUUCUUAGACCUGUGGUGCCUCAACCAUUCACAAUGAAAGUGCUAUAGUUUGACUACAUCAUAACUCGAUCUUCUAACCAUACAGAGUAUUGAGGUAUAUGUUGGCUGCAGUAGACUCAUUGUAUGAAUAAGAUAUGUAUCAAGAUAGAAUCUAUUGACCUCGGU